UUCAAUUUUAAAAAAUAAAUCCAAUUUCAUUCAAAUAGUCAUUACAAUCCAUUACAAUGUUCAUUACAUAAAAAAUACCAAAAAAUUGGCAACUUUGACCAAUGUUUGACUUUAGUGAACAAUUGACUUUUUGAUCAACUUUGACCAAAGUCAACUUAACUCCUAUUCAUCCAUCUCAGUCUAUUUCAAUUUUAAAAAUAAAUCCAAUUCAUUCAAAUAGUCUUACAAUCCAUUACAAUGUUCAUUACAUAAAAAAUACCAAAAAAUUGGCAACUUUGACCAAGUGUUGACUUUAGUGAACAAUUGACUUUUUGAUCAACUUUGACCAAAGUCAACUUAACUCCUUUUUUCAUUCUAAACCCUUUUCCUAAUCUUCAAAGUUGACCCUUGAUCCUUUGGAUUGCCAUUUGUACAUGGAAACCUUAAAGUUUCAACUUGAUGACUUGCCUUGUCCAAACCAUCCACAAAUGGAUCACAUGAACCUACACGAACUUUUUCUCAUUUUAAGCAAAUGCAUUCACCAUUUUAAACCUUGACUCAUAAUCCAUAUAUUCAAUCCAUAAUCAUUAAUCCAAUUUCCAAACAUAAUCCAAAUUCCAAUUUUAACCAUGUCAAAUUCGAUAACAUACAUUACAAUAACCAUACAUUUAAUUCAAUCUCCAAUUAUAAACCAACAUACAAUCUCAAUUUCAAAAUUAUAAAGAUUACAACAUGACAUCUUAAGAAUGUGUGAUUUGACCUAACUCAACCCUACAAAACCAGUUGGUAGAGUGAGGACUGCCUCUAUAUUGUCCGAUGUGGGACUCUUAACACACCCCUCACGCCCAGGACUGGACAUCUGGAGCGUGGAAAUAAAUGGUGGAUGGCCCGAUAGCGGAAAUCAUAAUAGGUGGCCCACCGAAUCUUAAACCAGACUUUGAUACCAUGUUAAGAAUGUGUGGUUUGGGUCUAACUCAACCCUACAAAACCAGUUGGUAGAGUGAGGACUGCCUCCAUUUAUAAACACAUGUUCAGACCAUAUAUUGUCCGAUGUGGGACUCAUAACAUGACAUGUCCUAGCAGCUCAAAUCCAUUCCAAUGGCUCAAGCACAUGCCAAGCAGCUCUGAUUCAUAACAUUCCACAAGCAAGCCAUCCUAAUCCUGAGUUAGAGCAGCAUUAAGUCAUUUUCACCAUAGCAUGAAAACAACAUCUCCAUGACAGUCAAUGAACACCAAGACCUGCAAAAUCCAAGCUCAAUUUAAAUCCAUCAUAUAUGACAUAAAGCAUAAAACCAAUGACCCUGCAUCACAAUUGAAACAUAGCAAAGAACUCCAAGCAAUUUAACCUGGAGAGUUUAAUUCAGAACUCAGCUCCCUUGGAAAAAUAACCUCACCACAAAACUAACAAUUCAAAACAAACCCCUUAUAACACCCUUCUCACAGCGAACCAGCAUUUUCAACUGACUUUAUAACUAACUUCUCUUAUCAUCUCCUAACAAGCUAACUGAUUCCUCCAACCAUACAACUAACUUCUAACUGUUUUUUGUAACUGCUAACAACUUGUAACCACCUACUAAAAAAUUAUAACAGACUAAAACAAAAAUCUAACAGAAAAGCCACAAUCAUAUAAAAGCAAUUUGACUGCAACUUCACUAUCACCUUUUUCACCAAUCUCAGAAAACGAUUACAAACAGAAACUCGCUGCACUUUGCACGAUCUUCCUCACUCAUCACUCUCUCACUUUGGCACGAUCUCAGAACAAUUCAAUUUUCACUCCUCUCAAACCACACUUCAACCUACAUUUCUCAUCAACAACACAUGCAUUUGAGAUUAGGAGUCAGGGUUCCUCGAUUUGCUUCUUCGAUUCGAGCGAAUUGUGAGGAGUUAGAAAAUUCUAUGGCUCGAUUAGGACUUAGGGCUCGAAACUGAGUGAGGUGAUGCUAUUUAAUUACAUUUUGGAGAACCUCUUCCGCCAAGGAUAACCUCUGGUGCGACAGAGGUGAAACAAAAGUAGAAAUGUGAAACGAAUAGAGACAAGAGAGAUACGCGUGUGGAGUUUCCUUUUAUUCACAUGCUUAU
rnacentral:lncRNA from 1 species